CGUCGCGUAGCUCAGCGGAGAAGAGCGCGGCUCUCCGACAGCCGAGGUCCCGUGUUCGAAUCACGGCGCGACGA
rnacentral:tRNA from 1 species